UACAUGCAACAAUGCCCAACCCUCACGGGAAGGGUGCACUUAUUAGAUCAAGACCAACCGGGUUUCGGCUCGAAGUUUUGAUGACUCUGGAUAAUUGUUUCGAUCGCACGGCCUUUGUGUCGGCGACGUUUCUUUCAAAUGUCUGCCCUAUCAACUAUAGAUGGUAGAUAAAUUGUCUACCAUGGUGAUAACGGGUAACGGGGAAUCAGGGUUCGAUUCCGGAGAGGGAGCCUGAGAAACAGCUACCACAUCCAAGGAAGGCAGCAGGCGCGCAAAUUACCCACUCUCAAAACGAGGAGGUAGUGACAAUAAAUAACGAUGCGGGACUCAAUCGAGGCCCCGUAAUCGGAAUGAGUACACUUUAAAUCCUUUAACGAGGAUCAAUUGGAGGGCAAGUCUGGUGCCAGCAGCCGCGGUAAUUCCAGCUCCAAUAGCGUAUAUUAAAGUUGUUGCAGUUAAAAAGCUCGUAGUUGGAUCUAAGGAUUUGGACGGAUGGUACGCUUUAGGGUGUCACUGUCUGUCUGGCCUAUAUUAGUCGUGGAAGCCUUUAGUGCUCUUCAUUGAGUGCUUUGGGUGCCCGACGCACUUACUUUGAGAAAAUUAGAGUGCUUAAAGCAGGCAUAAUGCUUGUAUACUGUUGCAUGGAAUAAUGAAAUAGGAGUUUGCUUCUAUUUUGUUGGUUUUCGGAAGUGAACUAAUGAUUAACGGGGACAGACGGGGGCAUUUGUAUGGAGGCGCUAGAGGUGAAAUUCUGUGACCGUCUCCAGACAAACUACUGCGAAAGCAUUUGCCAGGAAUGUUUCAUUAAUCAAGAACGAAAGUCAGAGGUUCGAAGACGAUCAGAUACCGUCCUAGUUCUGACCAUAAAUGAUGCCAUCUAGCAAUUCCCGAAGUUUGCUUGUACGAACUUGGGAGCGGCCCCCGCGAAAGCAAAGAUUUUGGGUUCCGGGGGAAGUAUGGUUGCAAAGCUGAAACUUAAAGGAAUUGACGGAAGGGCACCACCAGGAGUGGAGCCUGCGGCUUAAUUUGACUCAACACGGGAAACCUCACCCGGCCCGGACACUGUAAUGAUUGACAGAUUAACAGCUCUUUCUUGAUUUGGUGGUUGGUGGUGCAUGGCCGUUCUUAGUUGGUGGAGUGAUUUGUCUGGUUAAUUCCGAUAACGAACGAGACUCUACCCUGCUAAAUAGUACGCAGAUAAUAAUUCUGUCUGUGCUGACUUCUUAGAGGGACUAACGGCGUUUAGCCGUGUGAGAAAGAGCAAUAACAGGUCUGUGAUGCCCUUAGAUGUUCGGGGCCGCACGCGCGCUACACUAAUUACAGCAACGGGUAUGCUCCUGGUUAGAAAUGACUGGGUAACCCGAUUGAAUCGUAAUUGUGACAGGGAUCGAGGUUUGCAAUUAUCUCUCGUGAACGAGGAAUUCCCAGUAAGCGCAAGUCAUUAGCUUGUGCUGAUUACGUCCCUGCCCUUUGUACACACCGCCCGUCGCUACUACCGAUUGAACGGUUUAGUGAGGUCCUUGGAUUGACUGUA
rnacentral:rRNA from 1 species